rnacentral:lncRNA from 1 species
AAACAAAGAAAUCCGGAUGUAGAUACAGUUCUGAAGUUCGAUUAUUAACAGAAAAGGAAAUUGAUUCAAAUAGCAUGAAAUGCAGUCGCAAUAUACAAAUGACUGUCUCCAGGCUAUGGUGUGAAAUAUUUUUAGAAUAUGCAAGAAUUUGCUUGUAAGUGAAAUGUAUCUCUAGUUUCCUUUUCAGUACUUUCUGGCAAAUGGUAAAGUUAACUUCCGAGUAUCCAAUAGAUAUAAGUUGUGGGAGACACAAAC